rnacentral:rRNA from 1 species
CGCCAGUUUUGGCGGAGCCAUCCUUGGGAUACCACCCUUGUAGUACUGGGACUCUAACCAUAGGCCAUGAAUCUGGUCUUGGGACACUGUCAGGUGGGCAGUUUGACUGGGGCGGUCGCCUCCCAAAAGGUAACGGAGGCGCUCAAAGGUUCUCUCAGUACGGUCGGAAAUCGUACGUAGAGUGUAAAGGCAAAAGAGAGCUUGAUUGCAAGACAUACAGGUCGAGCAAGGCUGAAAAUCGGACUUAGUGAUCCGGUGGUUCUGCGUGGAAGGGCCAUCGCUCAACGGAUAAAAGCUACCCUGGGGAUAACAGGCUUA